CCCCGGGGAUAACAGGGUCGUCGCGGGCGAGAGCUCCCAUCGACCCCGCGGUUUGCUACAUCGAUGUCGGCUCUUCCCACCCUGGGGGUGCAGCUGCCCCCAAGGGUAGGGCUGCCCGCCCGUUAAAGGGGAACGUGAGCUGGGUUUAGACCGUCGCGAGACAGGUCGGACUCUAAGGGUGGGGAGUGCUGGCCGUCUGAGGGGAAGGUACCCCUAGUACGAGAGGAACAGGGUACCGGGGCCUCUAGUUUACCGGUUGUCCGGUAGGGCAGUGCCGGGCAGCCACGCCCUAAGGGGUAAUCGCUGAAAGCAUCUAAGCGAGAACCCCUCCCCGAAAAGAGACGGCCAUGCGGGGCUAACCCGCGAGAGCCCUCCCCUAGAAGAGGGGGUUGAUGGGGGCGGGGUGUAAG
rnacentral:rRNA from 1 species